GAUGAACGCUAGCUACAGGCUUAACACAUGCAAGUCGAGGGGAAACGAUAUUGGAAGCUUGCUUCCGAUAGGCGUCGACCGGCGCACCGGUGAGUAACGCGUAUCCAACCUGCCCAUCACUUGGGGAUAACCUUGCGAAAGUAAGACUAAUACCCAAUGAUAUUUAUAGAAGGCAUCCGAAAUGAAUUAAAGAUUUAUCGGUGAUGGAUGGGGAUGCGUCUGAUUAGCUUGUUGGCGGGGUAACGGCCCACCAAGGCGACGAUCAGUAGGGGUUCUGAGAGGAAGGUACCACACAUUGGAACUGAGACACGGUCCAAACUCCUACGGGAGGCAGCAGUGAGGAAUAUUGGUCAAUGGGCGAGAGCCUGAACCAGCCAAGUAGCGUGCAGGAUGACGGCCCUAUGGGAUGUAAACUGCUUUUAUAGGGGAAUAAAGUGAGCCACGUGUGGUUUUUUGCAUGUACCCUAUGAAUAAGGACCGGCUAAUUCCGUGCCAGCCGCCGCGGUAAAAC
rnacentral:rRNA from 1 species